rnacentral:rRNA from 1 species
AUGAGUCUACUCAUGUGGAACUGUCGCGGGGUUGGCGAUCCGAUGACAGUUCGAGAGCUUCGUGACCUCACGAAGCAAUUUGCCCCCUCUAUUAUAUGCAUUCUUGAAGCUCAGUUAGAGGGAAGUAGAGUUGAAAGUUUAGCCGGUACUUUAGGAUACAAUAAGAGUUUUGCUAUUAGUAGCUCCGGUAUGAGUGGAGGCCUUGGAAUAUUCUGAAAUGAUGAAAUAAAGAUUGAAGUUGUGGGUUAUUAG